GGUUUGUGGGAAAUGUGCGGCUCUCGGGAGCCUUCGGUGGAGGGAAGAGAAGGGGCUUCGGCCCACCGCCAUCUUUACGGGGCCUCUGCCGAGGACCGGAGGGCUCGCUCGCUCGCUCUUCUGUUUCUCAAAGCACAGCCCUCCCGAGAUGAGUUUCAUUGCUCAUAUCCUGGAGAUGAACCUUCGCAAGUUUUGUUCCUGCUGCCCAUGCGUUUUCUUUUGGAAGCCUUAGCGUGGAAAAUGUCUGUAGUUUUGCUUCCAUGCCUUCCCAUGGGAGAUUCCUGCUCCCACCUCCUCCCUCUCCCAUGUUCUUUACAGUGUCUCUCCGCUUAACCCUCGGCAUCGGAUUUUGUUUUUCUUACAAGCCUCUUCUCAGAAACGGACUCGUUGCUCUUACGGAGAACUUGGGAUGAACGGCCCUAAAUCAAGAAGGCGACGAAUUCUAAAGCAACAAUUGCGGGGUGGGGUGGCUCUGAUUAGCUACAUUUCCCAUAGUAAAUUAUUAGCCCAGUGCUGACUAGAGAACCUAUAUAUAAAUCAGGAUUGUUACCGGAUGUGGCCAAGGUGCCGGUACACUAAGCGUGCACAUCAAGAAAGUUUCCUGAAGUUCUUUUUUUUUUUCUCUCCCUGUGAUCAAAGAGUACAAGCGCACAAUUCAUUUUUGUGUUUAAGUAUAUCUUAAGCAACAUCAUGCUGGCACAGCAAACACUUUAUCUACGGAUGAUAAAUAAAAGACCCAGAGACUGAUACUGGGGUCAAGCUUCAAGCCGAACAUCAGAAAAGCAAAGCAGCCCACCACCAGCUCUUCUUACCUCUACCUCAGCUCAGACCAAAGGAUCGUUCUUCAGACUGCUUCGGACUUCACUGCUGGGAUUAAAGGUGUGCAUCGCCAUACCUGAUCUCUAUAGCUUGAGGCUGGCUUUGCUUUCUGAAUCCUCAGGCAAGCUUUAAUAAAUCAUAAAUGAUGUA